rnacentral:rRNA from 1 species
UACGUAGGGGGCUAGCGUUGUCCGGAUUCAUUGGGCGUAAAGCGCGUGUAGGCGGCCAGGUAGGUCCGUUGUGAAAACCCGAGGCUUAACCUCGGGACGCCGACGGAAACCCUCUGGCUAGGGUCCGGAAGAGGAGAGUGGAAUUCCCGGUGUAGCGGUGAAAUGCGCAGAUAUCGGGAAGAACACCCGUGGCGAAGGCGGCUCUCUGGGACGGUACCGACGCUGAGACGCGAAAGCGUGGGGAGCGAACAGG